GAUGAACGCUGGCGGCGUGCCUAAUACAUGCUAGUCGAGCGAACAGACGAGGAGCUUGCUCCUCUGACGUUAGCGGCGGACGGGUGAGUAACACGUGGAUAACCUACCUAUAAGACUGGGAUAACUUCGGGAAACCGGAGCUAAUACCGGAUAAUAUAUUGAACCGCAUGGUUCAAUAGUGAAAGACGGUUUUGCUGUCACUUAUAGAUGGAUCCGCGCCGCAUUAGCUAGUUGGUAAGGUAACGGCUUACCAAGGCGACGAUGCGUAGCCGACCUGAGAGGGUGAUCGGCCACACUGGAACUGAGACACGGUCCAGACUCCUAUGGGAGGCAGCAGUAGGGAAUCUUCCGCAAUGGGCGAAAGCCUGACGGAGCAACGCCGCGUGAGUGAUGAAGGUCUUCGGAUCGUAAAACUCUGUUAUUAGGGAAGAACAAAUGUGUAAGUAACUAUGCACGUCUUGACGGUACCUAAUCAGAAAGCCACGGCUAACUACGUG
rnacentral:rRNA from 1 species